GCAACUCCGACCUUUGGAGAGGGCCGCGUCCGCGCCAUACACGCGUUCUAGCAGGGCGAAAAAGGUAGGAGGGGUGGAUAAUGAGUGAGGCUGGUGGCUACUCGACCUUCCUCGAGCUAUGUGCGCACAUGAAUGCCGCGGCACCGGCACCGAGCAGGCAUGCCAGUCACUCUGAUGCUUCUUCGACUCAGUGCUUGUCCUCCUCACCGCUAGCGGAGGCCUCCACCGUCAUGACAGGGCCGGACGCUGUCAACUCAAAGCCGAGUGGCUCCGACGCUGCCGCUGCUGCUGCUUCUGUCGCCUCACUUCCUCACUUCCACUUCCCGCCCGCCAAGCGGGCUCCCCAGUUCCCCUCCCUCCUCCUCGGCAGCGAGGUGGAGCAGAGACGAGGCGAUGAAAAUUUUGACUUGCACGCGAAGAAAGGGGUGACGGUGCCGACUGCUCCAUUCAAUCUCAUGUCGCGGCGGGCGACGCUGCCCUUCACCGCCGCUGCCACCUGCCACGGCGUCGGAGGCGCAACCGCGUCGGAAGGCGACCUCCGGCUUGCCCUGACGACUCCGGUGGGCGACUCCAAGGCCAUUUACGGACAGAGCCCCACGCGUAGUUUGAAUCACUCCAGAGUCAUGCGCGCACCAGCGAUGGUGGCCGACGAUGCACACCAGCAGUGGCGCCUCGACCGCCUCGCCUCCUCUGGCAGGGCGCUCGCGGGCGAGGAUGCCGCAGAAGACGCCGCUGCUGCUAAGCAAGGCAGACCUUCGCUGAGCGACAACCUCAUGAGCCCUGUCGGUGCCGUUCGCGGUGAUGGUGGAGCCGGGCAAUCGAUCGAUGUGGCGCGCACGCCGCACUCAUUCAUCAGCGAAGCUGGCACCUUUCUCGGCGCGGUGGAGAUGUCAGAUGAGGAGGAUUACCUCUCGAACCUGGGUGCGACGAGGAGACCAGAUGCCUCCUCCAGCGCCGACAGCGUCGCAGCGGCGGCGGCCGACGUCAGUGCUCUGGGCAACGACAUCGACUCCUCGCCGCCAUCCUGUGCCUGUGCAUGUAUGAGGGGCUGCCCAGAUCCAAAUUGUGUCUCUCAUAUGAUGGACAUAACAGUGUCACCCAAGGCGGCGCAGAUAGGGGUGCCGCCAAAGGCCUCUGCCCCUGCUGCGUCUGCGCAGCUCACACACCAACGCUUGUCCUUGUCGACGCCUGGCGGAGGCACUUCGGCAACAACGAUUCUUACCCCGGCGGCCGCCACACCGCCCACCGCUCAUGCCGGAGAUGAUGCGCACCCGCCCGAACCGUUCCCCGACGCGGGACAAGGUGCAGCCCCUUUUCCCCACAGCGACCGAGAGGACACGCGGGUGGGUGGAGAGGGCGUCUUCAACGUCAGCGGCGACCCUACUGCGGCGGCCUGCAUUCAGGCUAAACUUCUAUCGACUGCGCAUGACGCCUUAACGGUCCAGCACGAUGCGAGCGGUGGCGACAAGCGAAGUGCUCCUUGCCCCGGCGUGUCAGGUAUGGGAGUGGGAACGCCCACUGAGCACGAUGCCAGACUAAGUUUCACAAUACCCAUCAACCUUGUACAGGCAAACACGCUCCUGCUCACCGAUACGAUAAGCGAGGUGUACACGAGCUCCUUUGCCACGGUGACCACUAGCAAGUCUACCCAGGAGUCCUCCUCGUCGACGCAGCUUCUGGGCUCGCGUGAAGGUGCCAGCAUCGCUGCUAGCGUCUCGGCUCCGCGUUCGCUGCAGCAGCAUAAUUCCUUCGGCACAUGCACCACCGUCCCCAAGCUGGGAAGCCCACUGCAGCUGACAGAGGAGCUGCAGGGGCAGAAGCAGGAGCCUCGGCACCCCUCGUCCUCUCCUCGUGACGCCUUCGACAUCGACGAACAUAGCUUCUUCCAGGUUUCUGGCGGUGCCCCAGCCGCUGCGGUGACAGGUCCAUCGUCUUCGCCGUUGCCGUUCUCUCGGUUAUCGCCGGGGCCCCCUUCAUCGCCACCAUUUGCGCGCGCGCAGCGCCGUGGCAUCGUUGCUGCCUUAGCAGAAAUGGAGCUGCGUCCCAAGGAAGAGGUCGUGGUGAAAAGAUGCGAGAUACCUGACGAAGAGAAAACCACCACCGUCAACGCUGUGUGGCCUCCUCGCUUACUGUGGAAGGGCCCAGACCGGGCAGCCGAGGACUGCCGCGAUCUUUCCGAUGCCGUAUUCACAGUACCGGCCACGGACAGCAGCCGCGCUGCACCAGUGCAUGCGGAGUCCCCGGGAGACGACGCCGACUUGGCGGACUCCGCCGGGGCAUUCUUCCUGGCUUUUCAGUCAAAACUAAGCAAGUGUUUGACCUGGGUGGGCCGCAGGUAUCAAGGCGUAGUGCGCCGAACUUCUGAUGCAGCCGGAGAAGAGCAGUCGUUGCAGCAGCAGCAGCAGCAGCAGCCAUUGGAGUCGCCGACGAGGCGCAGCUGCGCCCCUCAGAGGAAGUCAAAUGAUGGAUCCAGUGGGCACCGUGUCUCUUUCCCACCCGGGGACAGUGCGGAGGCGGUCGACAACGGCAGCGCAGCCUUCUACGAUGCCCGAUCCUUGAAGCGCGAGUCGUCGCACCUCUCUGUCGCCCUCUCGCUCAGCACGUCGCAGGUUAACUCAAGCUACGAUGGUGAGCGGUCGCGACACUCCGUGGUGCAGGAGGCGCUGUGCGGACUGGCCACUCCGUGGAACGGCGGCGGAAACAACACCUGGUACAGCGUGGGCUGGCAGAUGGAACCACGAGGGACGGGGCGUGUGACUAACGGAUCCAUGCAGCUGCGCCGCUUCAUCACGGCGUCGCCGCUAUCGCCCUCGACUCGCGACGCGCCCUUUCCCACGUCUUCUGGAGAGCGGCUCUGCGGCUCGACGACGCCGCCGAACCUGUCCCUCUCUGCUGAGUCUCUGACAUCCACCUUUAAUGCGCUGACGACACAGAUUUUCAGCGAUGGCGCCGUGCAGCGCCUCUCGCGCAGCCUGGGCGGCGCCCUGAACAGCAGCGCCAGCGGCACUAGCAUGUCGGGCGACCAUUACAGCCUGUCGCUUCCUUCGUCUAACGACCGCCACAGCCGCAUGAGCAACUCUAACACAAGCGCCAUUGCCGACGACCGUUACCGCGACACGCUGUAUCGCCUCUUCCGCCAUCCCCCGAGCAGCCUCAUAGGCGACCUCACGGAGUGCUACGAGGCCUACAAGGCCAUGGCCACCUCCUCGAACGGACAUCACGUGCUGAACUGGGGCGAGCUCGGCCUUCUUCUGCAACCAGAGGACUACAUUGAUUACCGCGCUCUCUUCCCACCCUACCAUUUCGUUACCUUUGCCGACUUUGUAGAGUUUGUGGAGGUGCUGUCGUUGCGCUACCACCGUUGACAGUGGGCGGUGUGGGUAUGGGGGAGUGACACGCAUGGAGACCCUCCAUGCCCAUGUCGACAUUUACGGCUCUCCUCCGGCCUCCUCUUGGCACCGAUUCGCAGUUUCGUGCACGCAAUCGGUCGGAAAUCAACGGUUGCAACGGCAGCAACAACGCGCAAAUAAAAGAUUUGAUGCCGGCCAGGAAAAAUGGGAAACAUUACGCUGCUUUGUUUCCUCGGCCUGCAGCCCUCUUCCAUGCGCUGCAGGCUGACGCAGGUGCUCCAGCCGUAGGGGCGAGCAUGCACAUCAGCCCCUGAACCCCUCCCCCACAUCUGUUUUCAGCACGCGCCGCUGUAUCUCGCACGAGGACAUCUCAUUCUUUUAUUUCUUUCUUCCCCACAGGUGUGCCGCGGAUUUUAUCAUUCAUCCUUACCUUCCUUCGAAACCACACAUCAUUCACUUUCGUUUUUGUUUUAUUGUUGUUGUUCUCUAAGUUCUCACGUCCAGCACAUUUCUUUUGUUCUGCGUUCUUCCCUCAUUUCACUUCCUCGCACCUCGCUGCUAUUUUUUUUUCCUUUCUGCUCUUCCUCGCUGAUGUACAGGUUGUAGACCACCCGACGCUUUUUUUCCUUUUCCUUUUCUUCUCUCUGCCUUCGUCUUAUGUUUCACUGCUUGGGAUUGCUGUUGUUGCCGUUGCUUCGGUUUUUCCCUCGCCCUCUCCUCUGCUCCAUCUUUGUUGCUCAUGUGGGCUCUCCCCCCUCCCUUUUAGGGUUGCCACUCCACUCCCAACGUGGCACUCCCCGCCUCCUGUUUGCGGCGAGGGCUGCCGAUCCGGCGUUGUGCCCGGUAUGCGACGCGAGACUCGCGGACUACUCUGCGCUUAUAGCACAUCUCAUUUCACGCUGUGAUCUCGAACGCAGCGAUGUGAUUCCACACACACAGACACACACACACGCACCUCACUUGCGCUGCAUGGACUUCCCUUCUCGGGUGUCUAUCGCUGGCCCCUCCUGUGCCAUUCCUUCAGGACGACAGGCUGUGAGCUCUUUGCGCGCAGACACAUGCUUAUCGGCGGGACCCUUCCGCUUGCCCCACCUACUCCUAUGAGAGGCGUGUGGGCUCAGAGGAGGGCGGAAUGCCGGUGCCGCCACAGGCUCGUGGCAGCGUUCCACGUGGCACGGCACACGCGUGCUGGCCAUCCAGCCACGCCGCCCUGACAGCAACGUCACCCUGCAACAUCGCCGAGGAUGCGGUAGUUCGAGCCGUGCGCGCAGGCGCUUUCGGGCACCGCUGGCAAGGCGCAUCGCAUCCAAAAGAGGCGCAAAGAGAUCUACCCCUAUGGGCCCCACAGCGCGUGUGUGCAAAGUAUGCGGCAUCCCCUACGUCCGACUGGCUUGGCUGAUGAGGCGCAGAUGCCGGGAGCAUGACGCGAACGCGCCGGGCUGCACCAUUGAGUCCUCCACACUCCAAUGUGGCGCGUCUGCAAACCGCAUUAGGAGAUGCCGCGGCUUGAAGCGGCUCAGAGAGAAGUACGGCAAACAGGCCGAGCGCAAAGUCUCGGAGGGCCAUGACCGGAAGGUGGCCAACUUCCUCCUCGAGCUCAUCCGGCAUGCGUCGGGGCGACGGCUCCCCCUCCCUCCCCCGCUUCCUCUAUUACACGCACGGCAGACGCCACCGCCUCCGCCUUCGAGCAGCACCCUGGACGCGGCCCACGUUGGAUCAAGAUGUGCAGCUCACCCGAGUGUCUCUCGGAUGCUGAUCGCGCCGCACGUAUGCGCGAAGGAAAGGACGAGGUAGGGCAAGAAGAGCCCGCUGGGCGCACUGGCCCGAUUGGACGGCAGCAUCGUUCGUCCAAGACACCUAGGAGCUAGCGGGAAUGCGACAGAGGCGGGUGAACUGCGUUUGCAUGGGUCUACGAAUUUAUUUGUUCGCGGUGGCGUGGGCACGUAAAAGGAAACAAAAAGGGAAACAAAUGAUUUUUUUUUCUCGCUUUCUUCCCCCUCGCGGUGGCCCUGGCGCCUGCAUGCGUGUGUUUCUACAUGUAUAUAUGUGUUUAUAAUAUCUUGUCCCACUGCACUUGUGCCAGCUGGCGUGUAUGUGUGUGUGUGACAGCGGAUGCCGCUGUGUUUUCGUUGUCUUAUGGUUUUUUUUCUUUUUCGGCCCCACUCCCCCUCUCCUCCUCCUCUCCCUUGUCUGCAUCCUUCCCUGUUUUCGCUUUUUUUGUUGUUGUUGCUGUUGAGGUUUAGCUUUUUUGUCGUCGUUGAUAUUUUUAUCCGUAUUGACUUUUGAGUGCGUACUCAUGUGGCGUUACCUUCCCAAACCCUCUCAUUUCCCUUUUGCCGUGCUCGCACAAGGGAGAGCAGCUGAGGGGAGAUGGGGAGCGAUGAAUGGUAAACGACAAAAAAAUGACGAAGAGGCGGUAAGGUUCGAGAAGUCACAGCAGGCUGAUCGAAUCGGUGGCUCCGUACCGUUCACGAAAAAAAAAGGACGAGAAACAAUAUUUUGAACCCGCUCCCCUUUCCCCCGGAGGAGCAUGCAGGCAUACACAUAUACAGGUCCUCACAAGCCGUCUGUCUAUGUCUCUCUGCCGCUCGCUCAUGUGCAACAUUCUCGUCCCGAAGUCGACUUGUGCCCGCUUCUUGGGACCUAUCUUCUGUGUCGCAUUGCAAAGACGCAUCGAUCCGCCUCUUCUCUCCGGUGCUUGUGCUGCGGUGUGGAGUCUCUGCGAACUUGCACGAGUGAAAAG
rnacentral:misc_RNA from 1 species